UACGGAGGGAGCAAGCGUUACUCGGAAUUAUUGGGCGUAAAGGGCGCGUAGGCGAUUUGAAAAGUCUUGUGUGAAAGCCCCGAGCUUAACUCGGGAAGUGCACAAGAAACUGUUGAAUUUGAGUUCCGGAGAGGAAGGCAGAAUUCCCGGUGUAGCGGUGAAAUGCGUAGAUAUCGGGAGGAAUACCAGUGGCGAAGGCGGCCUUCUGGACGGAUACUGACGCUGAGG
rnacentral:rRNA from 1 species